UACGAAGGGGGCUAGCGUUGCUCGGAAUCACUGGGCGUAAAGCGCACGUAGGCGGAUUGUUAAGUCAGGGGUGAAAUCCUGGAGCUCAACUCCAGAACUGCCUUUGAUACUGAAGAUCUUGAGUCCGGGAGAGGUGAGUGGAACUGCGAGUGUAGAGGUGAAAUUCGUAGAUAUUCGCAAGAACACCAGUGGCGAAGGCGGCUCACUGGCCCGGUACUGACGCUGAGGUGCGAAAGCCAGGGGAGCAAACGGG
rnacentral:rRNA from 1 species